rnacentral:rRNA from 1 species
AGCGAACGCUGGCGGCAGGCCUAACACAUGCAAGUCGAACGAACCUUUCGGGGUUAGUGGCGGACGGGUGAGUAACACGUGGGAACGUGCCUUUAGGUUCGGAAUAACUCAGGGAAACUUGUGCUAAUACCGAAUGUGCCCUUCGGGGGAAAGAUUUAUCGCCUUUAGAGCGGCCCGCGUCUGAUUAGCUAGUUGGUUGAGGUAAUGGCUCACCAAGGCGACGAUCAGUAGCUGGUCUGAGAGGAUGAUCAGCCACAUUGGGACUGAGACACGGCCCAAACCCCUACGGGAGGGAGCAGUGGGGAAUCUUGCGCAAGGGGGAAAAGCCGGACACCCCCAUGCCGGGGGAAUGAUGAGGGUUUUAGGAUUUAAAAAUUCUUUCACCGGGGACGAUAAUGACGGUACCCGGAGAAAAAGCCCCGGCUAACUUCGU